CACUGGUCGAGAGCUGGUGUCGCUCUCCUGAUGAGUCCAAGGCAAGACAAAACCAAAA
rnacentral:sRNA from 1 species